UGCCCAGAAACUCCUAUCCCUACUUUCUCGCGGUACUGGCCGGAUUACAAGCAACCUUAGGCAAGAUUGGAUAACCAACCCCGGUGGGAACUUGUGGUUGUGUGCUGACAGGGAAGG
rnacentral:ribozyme from 1 species